rnacentral:lncRNA from 12 species
AGAUAUUCAGGCAAUGGGAAAAUAGGAUAAAAAAUAAGAUAUUAGGUCUUCAGAAAAGCUAACAACAUACAUGGAGAUAUAAGGCUACCACAUAUAAAACUACUGAGUGGGUAUAGGAACAGCAUUUCAGUGCCUACCUUGUGUGAAGGGCUCACACCCAAAUACUCAGCAACGGUUCUCAGCUGUGUGAAGGGACCACAGGGUGUAGGACCAGGAAACAUCUGGGAGAAUUUUCUUGACAGCAGGAAUGGAACUGCAUAUGUCUUUUUGUUGUUUUAAAAGAUUUUAUUUUUAAUCUCUACACCCAACAUGGGGCUUGAAUUAAAAACCCUCAGAUCAAGAGUUGCAUGCUCUACCGACUACGCCAGCCAGGUGCCCCCUGGAACUGCACAUAUCUUUAUGUUACAGUCAUAUUUAGAUCAUUCAUGAUAUCAAAUGUGUUUUUACACAGGUGUGGGGACUAAUUAUUAUUUUCUAGCAUAUCCAAGUAGGAUACCAACAUGAUGACCUUAAGGAACAAAGCCUAUGACAUGGAACAUGGAAGAUUCUAGAUUGGAACUUAUCUCGAUGCAGUCAUUCUGACAUUUUUCCUAUGAAAUGGAACAUGAAUCACACUUUGGAGCCCUAAGGGACACCCCUACUUAUCAUAACACAGAAAGCCAAUGUGCCCACUCUUCCACUUUAAAAGGAACAACUGAGCUGCACAAGUCACAAAAAUCAAGAUGGUGUCAGAAAUAGUGAAUUUCACAUUCAGAACCAGCAAAACAACUAUCAGAUGGGGAGUCCGGCAUUGAGGUGACUGGGUUUUGGUGCUCUGACAGGAAUCAAAGAUAUUAUGAAUAAGGAUUCACAAGCAGAUAUAAGGACCCCUAUAGAUUUCCAGAAAUACUUGGGUAGAGUCACCACAAGAAAAGACCGAUCUAUCUUUCAAUGGAAGGGAUCAGAGCAUCAAAAUUGGAAGCAUUCAUGUAAAUGUCACUUCAUCUAUUCCCUCAAAGUGACUACAUGUAAAAGAACAUGGUCACCCAACUGUGGAUUCAGAAGGAAUAACCUGAAAAGGAAAUGUGAAAGUCCUGUGCUAGCUACAAAUUAAGAUACAGGAAUUCAAUGUAUGAAAGAGGUAAAAGACCAACACUUUCCACACAAAGAAGGUCUAGAACACCUUGUCCAGGAAGCAGAAAGAGAUCUCUGUAGUACAUCCUGUCUCCCAGCUUCAGAGUCCUGAGCUGUAGAUUAAGUCACAGCUUAAAUUCUACAUUUAGAAUGUGCUCAGAGCAGAGGUUGGAAGAACACAAAUGAAGAAGGGUGUACGUUGGUUGACAGACAUGUUCUUCUAGUAUCCCAGUGGCCAUUUGAGUUUGGAUCAGGGACUAGUACUGGCCAAGCAAGGACUCUAUGAACUCCUCAGGUUGGCUCUUGAUUACUUUUUAUUCUUCAUUUUCAUUCCUUCCCUUUCUAUCCUCUGUGGGAUCAAUUUGGUAAAAUAAAAUGAGCCUUUGGGAACCA